UUGAAUUAGCUUUCGUUAUGUUACUGGACUGUUGUUAAAGACCUUGCGAUCAUCUUGUUGCAGGUGGAGGGUUUCCAGCAGGUGUUGGUGUGGGAGCUGGUGGUGUUGGAACUGGUGCUAAACCACCUAAACCAGGCUACGGCUCUUUGGGUACAGGAUACGCACAGCCAGGUGGUGUAGCUCCAGGAGGAUAUGGAGAAUAUCCACAAGCAUAUCCAGGAGGAUAUGGAGCAGGACUGUCACCACAACAAGCCAAAGCAGCCAAAUACGGAGGUGGACUGACGGGAUUCCUGGGAGCAGGUUAUCGAGGUGGAGCCGGCUGCCAAGGAAAAUACUGCGGGAGGAAGAGAAAGUAAAGGAUCUCUUGAGAUGUGAAGUGACCUCAAGAAACAUGGUGCUACUGCAUGCUCCAGAAUGUACUUUUGAUACUCAAACAAACAAUCCCAACAUGCACAAGUGUUAUGUUUUGUACUGAAGGUAAAUAUUUGUUAUGAAUCCAAGUCCAGAUCUCUGAAACGCCUAGUGUUUUGUGAAAAUAAUUCCAAUCCUAAUGGCACAUUCCAUCAUGUUACUGUUUCCUAUUAUAACCGGGUUGAUUAGCUGGCAAUGCUGUUGUGUAGCUGUAAACGUUUUAACCACGACCUCUUAUUUGUGGACGUUUCUGAGACCAUCCAAAGCUCUUUUGCUCAGUUGCAGUCACGAUCUUGCACUCUAGACUCUUAAAGUAAUUCAAGUAAAAAUCCAUCUUAAAGUAAAAGCCAUCUCUUGCCUGCACAACAUCAUCCAGCGUCCUCGCGACACAUCGGUGGUGCAGGUUUAGAGUCCUGUCAUAGCGUCAUACUGCUGAUUAAAUACUUCACAUCUGGCUGUGCUUCAGCUUAGGGGUUUGCCUGUUAUUUUCACCCUUCAGCAGCUUUACGAUUACAGUCCUUUAUGGGUGACUCUCUCACACACAAAUUAUAUUUUGCAUGAAGAAACGUAAGCCUGUUUUAGGUAGGCGCACAGAUUCUGUUGCUAUUAAACACAUUUUCCACCAAAAUUCUAAUGCAUUUGGUGCUUUAAUUAUUUGUAAUUAUUAAUUGUUCUCGAUGGCAAUAUCUUAUUCUCAUUACUGUAAUGCAGCGUGCUACAAAAAAAGUUUAAUUUAAAAUCAGUAAAACAAAUACUUUCAUGAUGUAUAAAUACUUUUGUAAUGAACUUAUUUUAAUUUCUAACAUUAUUUUCAUUUUCUUCAUGAAAAUAUAAUUUAUUUUAAUUUAGCGAUGAAAUGUGGCCCGUGACAUGUUCUUGACAUGUUUAGUGAGAUUCACCCCCUCUAGAUGAUUUAGGCUUUCAUGAAGCAUCA
rnacentral:lncRNA from 1 species